rnacentral:ncRNA from 1 species
GAACGCCGUAUGAAGUGAAAGUUUCAUGUACGGUGUGAACGGGGGGAAAAGCUGGCGAUAACUUCAAAAGCUUACCUAUCUGUAU